GGCCAGACUCCUACGGGAGGCAGCAGUGGGGGAUAUUGCACAAUGGGGGAAACCCUGAUGCAGCGACGCCGCGUGGGUGAAGAAGCGCCUCGGCGCGUAAAGCCCUGUCAGCAGGGAAGAAAAUGACGGUACCUGAAGAAGAAGCCCCGGCUAACUACGUGCCAGCAGCCGCGGUAAUACGUAGGGGGCAAGCGUUAUCCGGAUUUACUGUGUGUAAAGGGGGCGCAGACGGCAAUGCAAGCCAGGAGUGAAAGCCCGGGGCCCAACCCCGGGACUGCUCUUGGAACUGCAUGGCUGGAGUACAGGAGGGGCAGGCGGAAUUCCUAGUGUAGCGGUGAAAUGCGUAGAUAUUAGGAGGAACACCGGUGGCGAAGGCGGCCUGCUGGACUGUGACUGACGUUGAGGCCCGAAGGCGUGGGGAGCAAACAGGAUUAGAUACCCCGGUAGCA
rnacentral:rRNA from 1 species